rnacentral:lncRNA from 1 species
AUCAUUUGUCAGCUAAAAAGGCAAACUGGCUCUCCUCUGGACAGCUGCAGUGGCGGUGCAAGUAUAUUCAGUAUUUCAUGUUGUGUUGCAGUGGUAAGCAGCCAGAGGAAACUGAUGAAUCCAGUUGGUACUUGCUUUAUUUUUUUUUUUAAGGAGGGGAUGAAGAGCAGCUUUAUCUUUCUUAAAUGAAGAUUUAUUUGCUUGAUCUAGUGUAAUAUUCGGAGUUUGCUGUAGACCAUGUCUGAUACCUUUUCCUACAAUGAUUAAUGAAAUGUUCUCACAGUGAUUAAUGGAACAUGAAGAAACGGGUUGCUUGGUGUGAGUGAAAUGACUGAAUCCAGCUUUCUGUUUCUUGACUUGUGUGCAAGACAGAAUAAAACUCAGACAGCAGAUGUGUAAUGGGCUUCCCUUCAAAUACCUGACCAUUCUUGGAUCUGUUGGAAUGUGCUAUUUGUUGUGGGCUAUGGGGCAGGAGGUGGGGAGAACAAGAUGGAAGAGUUGGACUCAGUCCAGUCCACGAUGGGUGGAUAGUGACACUGUCAUGUGUGCCCCUCUGACGGUGAAGUGAAAGAAAGCCCACCUGGAACUUCUCAUGACAACAUCAAUAAACUGUCAAAGCACAAAGGAUUUGGAGAUUCAAGCUCCUAACCUCAAGAGAACUUCAGAACUAGAUGUGUUUUAUCAAUCAUAUAGAGAAAACUUUUCCUACCUCUUCUACGUUCUUCACAAGAAUCUAGCUAGCUCUCUUGCUGCAGCACAUUGUGCAAGUUCAUCAUGAAGCACUAACGGAAAGUUCCUUUCAGAGUCUGAGUAUUUGGAGGAUUUUUACCCAUCACAAAGCUUGGUAGGUACCCCUUGUCUCCAGGUGCUUAAUUUUACACUGCAUUUAAAUGAAACCGGUUGCCGGUAUGAUGCAGAUUUCUCUGUAAAAUUGUCCUAUCUGUGGUAAUACAGCAAUUAUAUCAACACUAAAGAUUUACAACAAAAGGUAACUAUAAAAACAUAUUUGUACAACGCAGCUCCAGGCUCAAUGCUAUACUAAUAAUAUAAUUAAUAAAAUACACUAUUUAUGCCA